ensembl:lncRNA
GUCUAACUUUGGAGCCUCAGCCAUCCGGGGGGUGUUUGAGGAGCAGAGACUGCAGGUUGGGGGCGGGGAUGGCAGAGGAACAGUGUUUGGAGAGACGCACGAUGUCUUUUUAGGAUAUUUCAGGCUGGCAAUUAGAUAUGCAAGUCCAGAGCCUGGGAGGCAUCAGGGUGCCUACGGAAAUGUGAGAUUCAUCACGCGUGUUUACCGAAGGCUGCGGAAUGGGUGGGGAAACUGAGGCAAGGAGCAGGGCGAUCACACCUGCCCCAGGCUGGAAAGCCGGAGAUCUGGGUCAAACUCAGGCUGUCUGAUCCAGAAAACCAUGCUCCCCUACUGGUCUUCAUACUUCGUCCUAGCAUGGCCGGCCUGCUAUCAACACCCGGGUUCCCCAGCGCCUCACUGUAAGGAACCUCAAGGGACUGCCAGUGGCCCCCUUUGACAGAUGGGAAGCUGAGGCUCCGAGGUGAUGAGGAGCCGGGAGCAGCAAGGGAGCUUUUCCCUGAAGUGCUCAGAGCAGCUGAUUGAAGAGGAUCCUUGUGGAGAAAACUCCUGCCUCUCUGGGACUCGACGCCCCACGUGACCUAGAACAGCCCACAGGCGUCAAGUCUCCCCGCGGCUCAGCCCCAGCUCCAAAGCCUUCUCCACUGUUCAUCCAACCUGC